rnacentral:rRNA from 1 species
GGACAACCCGGAGAAAUCCGGGCUAAUACCGCAUACGCCCUACGGGGGAAAGCGGGGGAUCUUCGGACCUCGCGUUGUUGGAGGAGCCUGCGUCGGAUUAGCUUGUUGGUGAGGUAACGGCUCACCAAGGCGACGAUCCGUAGCUGGUCUGAGAGGAUGAUCAGCCACACUGGGACUGAGACACGGCCCAGACUCCUACGGGAGGCAGCAGUGGGGAAUAUUGCACAAUGGGCGAAAGCCUGAUGCAGCCAUACCGCGUGUGUGAAGAAGGCCUUAGGGU